rnacentral:lncRNA from 1 species
UGAGGAAUUGGGAUGUAUUACCGGGCCCAGCACCUGGUAGACUUGACUGUACUUUUUUGCCUGGACUCUCCCUACAGAAGUGAUUGGGACAAAUCAAUGGGCCAAGCACCCAGGGUGAUUUGUAACACAUUGCUGGACCCAGCACCCAGAUAAUUUGGCUCUCCUGCUAUGGCCCUGCCCACAGAAGGCAUUGUGAUAUAUCAGUGGACUCAGCAGCCAGGUCAUGUGACUUUCCUGCCAGGGCUCUUCUCUCAAAAUGGAUACUGACAUAUCUCUGGGUCAUCAUUCAGGCACCUCAUAUCUCACCCUGGAAACAAGCCAUAUGAAUGUGAAGAAAAUAGACAGAAGCCAGAUAAACCUUAACAAUGUCAGAAAGCCAUCAUUUUGUUCACACAUCUUCAAGGACACAUGGCAUUGCACACUAGAAAUGGACCUUAUAAAAGUACUGUAUGUGAAAAAGC